rnacentral:rRNA from 1 species
GACAGAGGGUGCAAACGUUGCUCGGAAUCACUGGGCGUAAAGCGCACGUAGGCGGAUUGCUAAGUCAGGGGUGAAAUCCUGGAGCUCAACUCCAGAACUGCCUUUGAUACUGGCGAUCUUGAGUCCGGGAGAGGUGAGUGGAACUGCGAGUGUAGAGGUGAAAUUCGUAGAUAUUCGCAAGAACACCAGUGGCGAAGGCGGCUCACUGGCCCGGUACUGACGCUGAGGUGCGAAAGCGUGGGGAGCAAACAGG